AGCAGCCGCGGUAAUUCCAGCUCCAAUAGCGUAUAUUAAAGUUGUUGCAGUUAAAAAGCUCGUAGUUGAAUUUCGGGAUCAAUAUGUCGGUCGUGCCAUUGGUACGUACUGGUAUCAUUGAUUUCUCCUUUCUGACGAACCAUGAUGUCAUUAAUUUGGUGUUAUGGGGAGUUAGGACUGUUACUUUGAAAAAAUUAGAGUGUUUAAAGCAGGCAUUAGCUUGAAUACAUUAGCAUGGAAUAAUGAAAUAGGACGUUUGACCCUAUUUUGUUGGUUUCUAGGAUCGACGUAAUGAUUAAUAGGGAUAGUUGGGGGCAUUAGUAUUCAAUUGUCAGAGGUGAAAUUCUUGGAUUUAUUGAAGACUAACUACUGCGAAAGCAUUUGCCAAGGAUGUUUUCAUUAAUCAAGAACGAAAGUUAGGGGAUCGAAGACGAUCAGAUACCGUCGUAGUCUUAACCAUAAACUAUGCCGACUAGGGAUCGGAUGAUGUUAAUUUUUUAAUGACUCA
rnacentral:rRNA from 1 species